GCCAGGCAUGGCAGCUCACACCUGUAAUCCCAGCACUCUGGGAGGCUGAGGUGUGUGGAUCGCCUGAGCUAAUGAGAUUCAGACCAGCCUGAGUCAGAGUGAGACCUUGUCUCUAAAAAUAG